rnacentral:rRNA from 1 species
CAGGCCUAACACAUGCAAGUCGAACGAGAAAGUGGAGCAAUCCAUGAGUACAGUGGCGACCGGGUGAGUAACACGUGACUAACCUACCUUCAAGUGGGGGAUAACCUAGGGAAACCUGGGCUAAUACCGCAUAACAUCUUUGGAGUGGAAAUUCUGGAGAUCAAAGGAGCAAUUCGCUUGAAGAGGGGGUCGCGGCUGAUUAGCUAGUUGGCGGGGUAAUGGCCCACCAAGGCUUUGAUCGGUAGCCGGCCUGAGAGGGCGCACGGCCACACUGGAACUGAAACACGGUCCAGACUCCUACGGGAGGCAGCAGUGGGGAAUUUUGCGCAAUGGGGGAAACCCUGACGCAGCAACGCCGCGUGGAGGAUGAAGUCCCUUGGGACGUAAACUCCUUUCGACCGGGACGAUUAUGACGGUACCGGUGGAAGAAGCCCCGGCUAACUUCGUGCCAGCAGCCGCGGUAAUACA